rnacentral:tRNA from 1 species
ACUAUUUUGGCAGAAAAGUGCCAUGGAUUUAGGAUCCAUAAAUGUAGGAAUUUAUACUACAUGUAGUA